AUGAACGCUGGCGGCGUGCCUCAUACAUGCAAGUCGAGCGAACAGAUGAGGAGCUUGCUCCUCUGACGUUAGCGGCGGACGGGUGAGUAACACGUGGAUAACCUACCUAUAAGACUGGGAUAACUUCGGGAAACCGGAGCUAAUACCGGAUAAUAUAUUGAACCGCCUGGUUCAAUAGUGAAAGACGGUUUUGCUGUCACUUAUAGAUGGAUCCGCGCCGCAUUAGCUAGUUGGUAAGGUAACGGCUUACCAAGGCAACGAUGCGUAGCCGACCUGAGAGGGUGAUCGGCCACACUGGAACUGAGACACGGUCCAGACUCCUACGGGAGGCAGCAGUAGGGAAUCUUCCGCAAUGGGCGAAAGCCUGACGGAGCAACGCCGCGUGAGUGAUGAAGGUCUUCGGAUCGUAAAACUCUGUUAUUAGGGAAGAACAAAUGUGUAAGUAACUAUGCACGUCUUGACGGUACCUAAUCAGAAAGCCACGGCUAACUACGUG
rnacentral:rRNA from 1 species